GUGACAACCAUAAUCCAUUUGACAGAUGGAGAAAUAGAAGCUUGAAAGACUUCGUAGAAUACCUAAGGCCACCCCAGUGAGUCAAGUGGUGGAGACAAGACUAAAAUUCAGGUCUGUUUCCCUUCAAAGGUCAUGUUUUCAACCGCUGUGGAUAUGCUGCCUGGCAAGAAUUAUGUCUAUAAAGAGAACUAUGCCAUUUCAAAAUCAGUAUGUCUUUGGUAAUAUUUAGUGCCCACCAUUAACGUUAAUUGUAUUCCUUUAUAACUGAGUUCCAAGGGUACUGCCCCGUUUUCAAGAACCUAAAAGAACAUGGAUCCAUGGAUGUAGAGACUGGAAAUUGAACAGUUCUGCUCAACUGCCUCCAUCUUGAUUCCCCUACCCCCAUUUUAAGAUACAUGAGGCACUUUAAGAUUUUCGGAGAAGGGUGUCCAGCAAUAUUUUACAAUUUUUAGUGGGAGGGCUGUGAUCUGCUCCUUAAAAAGACAGCUGUGUAUUGGGUUUCAGGGCAAGGUACUAUUUUCAGAAUCCAGGUGGAGUCUCAAACAGUAAAACAAUGCCAAGAGAAAAGGAAGGAAAACAAAAAACUAAAGGAAUACCCGUGCCCAUCGUUCCAAUUCUUCAAAAGUUCCUGAAAACAUACGAGCAGCACUGUGCCCAGAUGCAGACAUUUGUGUGUCCAGCCCUCAAACAGGACUUGAAAACCAGCAUCAGCAGUGAACGGAUUCUCAGGAAAUUUAUGCUUGUAAGACCUGAAGACUCCCCGCCAAGCAUCCCACCAAUUUCCUUGGAACCUUUGCUCAUGACAAUUCAAGAUGAGUGUUAUAUGCUGGGGAAAGAGAUCUGUAUCUGGAGCCUUCAGCUGAGCAACCCAGAGAUUGCCAGACUGGCUUCGCUUCUGGAGUUGAGGGGGUGUGCCGCCUGCCCAUUUACCAGCCUGGAGCUCAUCGACUGCAGGAUGGAUCUGUGGUCCCUCGGGAGACUUGGGAGGGCUCUGCCAUGCAGCUGUCUGCGUUCUCUCGUCCUCGAUUACUGCAGAUUUGGAAAUGAAGAAAUUGAGAAUAUUUUCUCAGGCCUGGAGAACAACCAAAGGCUUCAAGUCCUCAGUCUGCGCUACUGUGGUCUGGGGCCGCAGAGCGGACCACGGCUGGGCGCCAUCAUAUACCAGAGCUCCGUCUGUGAGCUGCACCUUGAUGGCAAUUGCUUACAGUGCUCCGGGGCUCUGGCUCUCCUCAGACCCGCAGCAGAGUAUGCAGAGAAGCAGGGCAGAGACCAGCCGGCCACAUCCCCACCAGACCUCGGGAGUCCCCCUCAGCAGCUGCAGGUCAAACAGAGGGGAAGUUCAACUUUGAACCAGACUACAAAGUCACCUGGAGCUCUUCCAGGGAAAACCCCUGCAGGGAAGGAGCGGAGGAAAAAAGGAAUCAAGAAAAAAAUCAAAGAUUUGACUGAAGCAGGCCCAUGGUUAGUGAAAUUGUAUUUGGCAGAUAAUGGCAUAGACGGAAAAGGGAAAGAAGGAGAAAAUGGCUUAUUGGAAUUCACUCAAAUUUUAACAUGCCUGAUCACAUACUCCGCUCACUUAAGGGAAAUUGACCUCGGAAACAAUGUCCUGGGAGAAAUGGCUGCUGCUGACAUACUUGAAGCACUGAGAGCCAGAAAGACAGGUAAACUCCCAGUCUUAAAAAUUAUAAUCACUCCUCAAGUCUCUUCAGACAUCUUCAGAUCUGUUUGGAAAAAUAGCAAGAAAUCUAGUAUUACCCAUAAAAAGAAGAAAGAGGUUAAAAACUGAAUGUGGAUGCCAUUUAUCUUUAUGGAUGCUAUCUAUUACCAUGGCCAACCGGACAUGUGUAAAAAGAUAUUGCUUGUUCUAUAAUAAUAGUUUUCACUGGAACCAAGCCCCUUUCAAGUUCUAAAAUUUGAUGACUAAUUUAU
ensembl:lncRNA uncharacterized LOC103678451